rfam:Zootermopsis nevadensis contig17228, whole genome shotgun sequence.
GCCACGGUGGUCUAGCGGUUAGCACGCUGGCCUUGUAAUCCUGGGGUCUCGGGUUCGAUUCCCGGCGGUGCCC